GAGGGUACAGCUCAGUGGCAGAGCAUAUGCCUGGCAUGCACAAGGUCCUGGGUUCAAUCCCAGUACCUCCA
rnacentral:tRNA from 1 species